AGUGAACGCUGGCGGUAGGCCUAACACAUGCAAGUCGAACGGCAGCACAGAGGAGCUUGCUCCUUGGGUGGCGAGUGGCGGACGGGUGAGGAAUACAUCGGAAUCUACUCUGUCGUGGGGGAUAACGUAGGGAAACUUACGCUAAUACCGCAUACGACCUACGGGUGAAAGCAGGGGACCUUCGGGCCUUGCGCGAUUGAAUGAGCCGAUGUCGGAUCAGCUAGUUGGCGGGGUAAAGGCCCACCAAGGCGACGAUCCGUAGCUGGUCUGAGGGGAUGAUCAGCCACACUGGAACUGAGACACGGUCCAGACUCCUACGGGAGGAAGCAGUGGGGAAUAUUGGACAGUGGGCGCAAGCCUGAUCCAGCCACACCGCGUGGGUGAAGAAGGCCUUCGGGUUGUAAAGCCCUUUUGUUGGGAAAGAAAUCCAGCUGGCUAAUACCCGGUUGGGAUGACGGUACCCAAAGAAUAAGCACCGGCUAACUUCGUGCCAGCCGCCGCCGUAA
rnacentral:rRNA from 1 species